UAUAAAUUACUGUAUAUAGCUUCCACACUGUUGUUCAUAAGCUAAGCCUACAAAGGUGUAAAAGGCAUAACAUAUUAUUUUCGCAUAAGAAAUAAAAUUAAUUAAGACAAUUCAACCUGCUUAUGCUUACAUGACUAAGGAAUUUCACUAGACACGCAAAUUUUACCCGACAUGUAACGAAAAUUUGUUUGCUCGCUACAGAUACCAAAAUAAGGUAUAUUCCGAUUAAUAUAGCUCCAGUCGUGACGUUCUAAUGCCCUUUCAAAAGACUUUUUAGAGCAAUUUCUCAUUGCCUUUUUCUUGUUUACGAGUGCUGUGAAAUUAUUAGAGAGACUAUGCAAAGUGUGAGCUCACUAAUUACGGUGAAUUCGUGAGUUUCAGCUAGCAAACACAUCGUCUCGCGUCACUCAGAUAAGCAAAAUAUAUUAAGCUCAUAAGCCUUGGACGUAAGAAUGGUCAAUCAACUUACCUACGAUAUUCAAGCCUGCUGUACGAGCCAUUAAUAAAAUUUGGUAAAUUGACAUAAAGAACGUAAGCGGAACAAGUGCACCUAAGCAGCCUGGGGAGAGAAUCCCAUCAUCGUCGCGCGUUUGUCGCGCGGGAGUCACACAAGACACAACGCUGUUCUUGAGGCAGCUCUGAACGCGAUUCAAGCGCGGCCAAAGGACAGAAAUGAGGAGUAAAUUAAGGUGGUUCUCAACAGUUCCCGGAAUUUUUGAGUACUUUUUUUGUUUUUGUUUUACUAAACAUAUUACCAAAGCAAGACAAUAUAGUUCAUGAUUAUGAUGGACACGAGGAGCUGGUUUGCCUGUGGCACAAAUUUUUAGUCCGUUAUAGGACGAGGUUUGAAUAAAGCAAUGCUCCAGUCAUACCAUGCAUACCGAUAAGAUAGAGCUCCCGGAGUAAUUAUCUCAGGGACGGUGGAGCCGGGAGGGCUAGGGGGUUCCCCAAAUUUCAAGCAAAAAAUACAGAAAAUAAUAAUUUUACAAAUAUCUUCAGACCCCCUGCAAGUUAGCGCCUCUGGCGCUCGCUUGAAAGACCCACAAUUCAAAAUACGUUCUGCCAUCCCUUUCCGACGUGUUCACCGGCGUCAAGCGGAGAGGUGAUUGCAGUACCAUUGAAAUUUUGUCGGUCAACAAAGGAUUAUCGCGACAAGUGUUUUCAUGAAAUAUUACUUAUAAUAUUGCAGUCCACGUGAAGGUUAACCUUAUCGAACUUCUAAUUUCUCCUACAACAAUUUUUGUGUUUGAUACAUUACAUCAAGACCUUGAACUUGCUAUUAAAGUUAUGUUCCAUUGAUCGAGUACUACUGUAGGUACACGUUUGAAGCAUCCUAGUCGAAUUUGGAAAUAACUGUUCUUCUCCCGCUUGGGUUCAACCCCUAGCUAUACAGCGCGCUGAAUGGAGAGUUCAGGGGUAGAACUUGGCUACAGUGGACUGACUCAAGAGAGGAUUAUCCUCUAUGAAGACAUGAUUAAUCAUCACAGUUACAUAAACAGCUAACGUAAACAGCUGUGAAAUUAAAGCCUGAAAAAACAUUCAGGUUUGUACGGGAUUCGAACACAACACCUCUGGGAUACCGCUGUGUCUAACGAACUCACAACGUGGCUGGCUCCCAGUUGACUUGAUAGCUCAGUUGGUAGAGCACUACACCGGUAUCGCAGAGGUCAUGCUAUAAUACAGGCUUGCACUGAUUGCUUUAAGGCUACAUCAAUUCCAACCGCCACUACUACCCUCCCCCCCAAACCAAGGCGCUUCAGUCAGCAUUUGCUCCCCCAGUGUGAGCAUUUUUCUGAAAUAGGUCAGUCUCAGGUGGAGGUAGGACAUUGUCAAAAACAACGCUUUCUUUCGUAUUUUAUAUAUGUUUCAAUGUUUAUUUAGGUUGAUAACGCCGUUUCCUAGCAGGGCGGAUCCCUCUCUCCUCACCCUCCCCUCCCAGAUGGAAAACAUUUCCACUGCUCUUCACUUUUCAAAUUGUAUUGCCAGUAUUUCUUCUACCUCACGCCAGCACGUACUUUCACAUUGAAACUCCUACUAGUAAGAAUGUAGAAUAUGAAAUGUAGAUAUAUAUUUUUUCCUAUUAUCUCAACUAGUUCUAGCUAGGGUUACAUGUUUUUUUUUACCCCUGGUCGUUCCACCGUUUUGCUAUUGAGGAAAAAGAAUACCCCUUUAAGAUUAACAGCUACUUCGACAAUAGGGAGCUUAAGCAACGACGACGAGGAAGCCGAGGACGACGCCUAGUAAAAAAUGUAUUUAUAUUUUACCAACGAAAUUCGCGAUUGUCUAGAUCUGUUCGGUACGCCAAUGGCUCUUAAAACGUGCUUAAGCUAAGUAUGCAGCGACGCGGAUCGACGGCGUUCAAUUCCAAA